GCAGUAGCCACGGGAAUACGGAGGGUGCAAGCGUUAUCCGGAUUUAUUGGGUUUAAAGGGUCCGUAGGCGGAUCUGUAAGUCAGUGGUGAAAUCUCACAGCUUAACUGUGAAACUGCCAUUGAUACUGCAGGUCUUGAGUAAAUUUGAAGUGGCUGGAAUAAGUAGUGUAGCGGUGAAAUGCAUAGAUAUUACUUAGAACACCAAUUGCGAAGGCAGGUCACUAAGAUUUAACUGACGCUGAUGGACGAAAGCGUGGGGAGCGAACAGGAUUAGAUACCCGGGUAGUCCCUGUCUCUUAUAA
rnacentral:rRNA from 1 species